AAGGAUUUAAGUUAGGUAAACUAUUAACCUUCAAAGUUAAAAUCAGAAUCGAUCAUUCUAAGCCUUA
rnacentral:tRNA from 2 species